AGUUAUGCUCCUGACAAAAAUUUAAUUAAAAAUUAUAUAAAAGGGGAGAUAAUUCAAAAACUAAGGUAGAUAGAGUUAUAGUUCUUGGUCACUGCACUUCUCCUAGUUGCCAUCUGUUUAUAUUUCAAGUUUCAAGUAAAUCCCUUCAGUAGAUUUAGAGUUAUGCUCCGGACAAAAAUUUACUUUAAAAUUAUAUAAAAGGGGAGAUAAUUCAAAAACUAAGGUAGAUAGAGUUGUGGUUCUUGGUAACUGCACUUCUCCUAGUUGCCAUCUGUUUAUAUUUCAAGUUUCAAGUAAAUCCUUUUUGUAGAUUUAGAGUUAUGCUCCGGACAAAAAUUUACUUUAAAAUCAUAUAAAAGGGGAGAUAAUUCAAAAACUAAGGUAGAUAGAGUUGUGGUUCUUGGUCACUGCACUUCUCCUAGUUGCCAUCUGUUUAUAUUUCAAGUUUCAAGUAAAUCCCUUCAGUAUAUUUAAAGUUAUGCUCCGGACAAAAAUUUACUUUUAAGUUAUAUAAAAGGGGAGAUAAUUCAAAAACUAAGGUAGAUAGAGUUAUGGUUCUUGGUCACUGCACUUCUCCUAGUUGCCAUCUGUUUAUUUUUUAAGUUUAAAGUAAAUCCAUUGAAUAGAUUUGAAGUUAUGCUCCAGACAAAGUUUCAGCCGGACGGACAGACAGACACGACCAAUUACUAUAUACCCUCCGAAUUUUUUUU